GAACCUACGGGGGGCAGCAGUGAGGAAUAUUGGUCAAUGGGCGGGAGCCUGAACCAGCCAAGCCGCGUGAGGGAAGAAGGUACAGCGUAUCGUAAACCUCUUUUGUCAGGGAACAAAGGCGGGGACUAGUCCCCGGAUGAGGGUACCUGAAGAAAAAGCAUCGGCUAACUCCGUGCCAGCAGCCGCGGUAAUACGUAGGGGGCAAGCGUUAUCCGGAUUUACUGGGUGUAAAGGGUGCGCAGG
rnacentral:rRNA from 1 species